rnacentral:rRNA from 1 species
AAUGCGACCUCAGCUCAAGCGGGGCUACCCGCUGAGUUUAAGCAUAUCAAUAAGCGGAGGAAAAGAAACUAACAAGGAUUCCCCUA